rnacentral:rRNA from 1 species
AGCGAACGCUGGCGGCAGGCUUAACACAUGCAAGUCGAACGCUCGUAGCAAUACGGGAGUGGCAGACGGGUGAGUAACGCGUGGGAACAUGCCCUUUGGUUCGGAAUAACUCAGGGAAACUUGAGCUAAUACCGGAUAAGCCCCUUACGGGGGAAAGAUUUAUCGCCGAAGGAUUGGCCCGCGUCCGAUUAGCUAGUUGGUGAGGUAAUGGCUCACCAAGGCGACGAUCGGUAGCUGGUCUGAGAGGAUGAUCAGCCACACUGGGACUGAGACACGGCCCAGACUCCUACGGGAGGCUG